UACUCCUUUAUUUUAACCUUAAAUGUUACAUUUUCAUGGCUCUUUGAGUCCUUGUGAGAUGCUAAUUAUGAGCUGACAAUGCUCAUGAGCUUCUCUGAAAUUCUCCAAAUACCUACUAGCCCUGGGUGCUCCACAGUGCUCUUGAUGGCCAAAUAACAGUUUUUUAAACUACCUGAAAUAGACCCAAGGCCUCUCAUGAUGAUUUUUCAAGGUUCACAACAAUUUCCUAGUAAUCUCUUUCUGAUCGUGAUUGUUCUCCAUUAUAUAUUUAUCUGCCUCCAUUAAUGGAAGGUUUGGGAUUAGGACUAAUUUUCAGAGACAAUCAGAUGCCUGAAUUCAUGGUUAUUAUCUUGGAGAGUCACUGUUUGUCAUUCACCAGAAAGAUGCCCACCGACCAUGGUCUGAUCAGAUACAAAAAUAUUUGAAUGCGCAGGACGCCAGGACCCAACACCUUACCAGUCAAAGCAUGCCUCAAAAUUGCCAGAUAUGUGUUGUCUUAGUCGUCCAGAACUAGGGUCCUGUUCUCUUUUUUCAAAUACAGUUGGCCAAAAAACUCUAAAACAUUUUUCUCUCUUCUGUCAUCAUCAUUUUCCCAAUUAAACUGUGACCCUUGGGGAUUUCAUCUCCCCAUCAAUGUCCAUAAGUUCACCUGCCUUCCGCUCGCCGCAUUUUGAAGCCCAUUGACCUCCUAGCACUGAGCAACACAGACCAAGGAUGUGCAGUGAAGCCCAGUUUACCUCUUAGUCGUCCCGAGUUGUGGCUAGGAUAACCAAGUUACCAAGAGAAAAAGGCCAAAAGGGUGAAUUGGAGGCACAAGAGGUGAAUUUUGGUUGCGAUUAGAUGAGCUUUAUGUGCGAUCACUUGGCAGUCAGGGGCUCAGGGCGCCCCACCUGAUUCCCCCAUAAUUCCACCCUAACUGCCAUUGAUGAGACUCAGGAGCUGAUGAUUAAUCUCCAGUCCAAAAUUAAAGUCCAUUUUGGCUGAUAUUUUUUCGUUUAAUCCUAACUUGUUAUACCUAAUCUUAUAUUGGAGUUAUUUCGUACUAGAAAGGAGCCACGCCCCUGGCAUGCACUGAUUGCCAUUUUUUACUGAGGGUUAUAUGUGAAAUUUGUGAGAUCGGCGAUAUCUCAAAUGGCCUUUUGCAGAAUACAUAUACAUCCAAAGAAAGAAAUAGCGUAGAAUAGCAUCGAUAUCUCAAAUGGCUUUUUGCAUGACACAUAUACGUCCAAAGAAAGAAAUAGCAUAGAACCAUAAGAAUGUUGUAUGUAAGAUGGAAAAUAGGCUUCUUAUCUUGACCCUUUCAGUAUAAUGUAUUUACAAUGGCAGGAUGCAAGCAAUAGAAGUAUAAAUAGUUAUGACUUAUGACCAAGGUACUGUAACACUAUAUAUAUGAACGACCAACAAACAUCCAGCCAGUACCACUAUCGGGCAUUUGGAAGAUAUAUACAACAAAACAGAAAAAUAUCAGACUCGCUGACUGCUGGCAAAGGAACACAUACAUCUAGUAAUACAGAUCGGAUAUAAGAACUACAUAGACAACCACUUUAAGGUUGCAAAAAAUAGGUUCUUGUUCUUGGUGAGGUAUCUUCUCGCCAUGAGGCGGCGGUUCAAAAUCUAGCGUGCAAUGAAUCAAUCCAAAUGUAUAUCCUCCGUCCUGAAUUAACUGACGUGAAUUCUAUACAAAUUCACGUCAGUUAAAUCGGGACGGAGGGAGUAUGUUUUUACUCAUUGAACCUGACAAUUAUCUAUGCAUCAAAACUGUCUGAUGGUAUGAGUACUGUUUGGUACAGUUCACAGUUGUCAUAUAUGAUGCACAUAUUAGCGUGUCAUGUGGGGGCGCACGUAUAGGCGCCGGCCACCUAGGGAAGAGAAGGACCCAAUGUCUGGGUCAGCUUAGUUAAUUUGAGUAAUUAAGAAUCCAGAUUGGAGAUAGAAAGGUUUCGUCCCGUAGAAUGUUUUCCCUACUAUUUCCAAUCUGAUUAGGAAUUCUAUUCCAAUUCUGUAAGAGUCUAGCUUGUUCUCCAAGUUUGUAAGGGCUAUUUAUAGUCCCCCCUAGUCAAUAAAUAAAGCAAGCAAUCAAAACCUAAACCCUAUUUUCCCCUGCGCCCAGGGCGCCCCCAAUUCCCUGCCACGGGGUGACGAGGUUACAAGCCUCGUCCUCCCGUAGAGCACCCCUACUUGCUGCGAUCUUCCUCUAGUUCCCAAAUUCCCCAAGCACGUGCCAUAGCAUCUCAUGUACGGAGCUUUAAAUGGCAUUUUAUAUCUCCUUAUUCUCUGUUAGCUGUAAAGGAAAGAGAAGUAUUAUAGACAAACUGCGAUCUUGCCUAUCUCGAUCUCUUCAUAUAAGUUGUUGUGAGCAUGGAGGAAAUAGGUCUACAGAAUAUUUUCACAGGCAAAAGGUCUGGCAUUUUUCUUCAAUAAAACACAAGAUGCAUUGACAUAGGUAGCUCAACACUGCUUCUUCCGUGAUAUCUCAACCGAUCAGACAAAUCUCAUAUUUAUAAGAACUUAAAUGUAAGCAACCUGUAAUAACACAUCAAGAUAAAAAUUUAACAUGACAGUGAGAAGGAAUACAAUGUUCUAGAGCUACCAGUAGUACAGUACGCUACUAUAGGCCCACAGUUAGUGUAUUUAGAUUUGAAAUAAGUCCAUUUUACCCCCCCUGAACUUCUCGUAAAGUUUAAAAAACACCCUGAACUCUAAAACCGGGUAUUUUACCCUCCUGAACUUUAGAAACCGGGCACCCUGACCCCCCUCUGCCUGUUUCGCUGAUUUUAGGUGGGUUUGGCCCCGUUGACUGCAACCGUGGCAUGCUACGCUGUCAAGCGAACCAUUUGACCCCGUCCCGCAUCUGACCUCCUCUCUCUCCUCUCAUAUUCCCAAAUGAGGAACCCAAUCCUGCGGCAAUACACCAUUGACGAGCGUGACAGAUUGGGGAAAUUGGCACGCACUGCAGUAGGGGGAAAUUGGCACGCACUGCAGAAGAGAAUCGGGCGGGAGAGUGAUGGAAUCGACCCUGCAGAAGAGUCUCGGGCGGGGGCAAGAGGAAAACUGACCUGCGCCAUGGCCGCCACCAAGCUUCACCGCUGCUGCCGCCAAGCAUCUUCCUCCUUCCUCUUCUCCCUCCUGUGCCUCCCUCCCCUUCUCUUUUGCGCGCUGCCCCUUUGCUCCUCUGGCGCCGCCGCUGCUACUGCAUCUCGCGCAGCCCCCUCUGCUCCUCCAUCUCACUCUGCCACGAGCCGCCGGAGGCAGCGCCGGCUUGGAGGUGGGUCGAUCAGGAGCAGCGUCGCGUAGGUGAAGGCCCCCGCCGCAGCGCCCACGCAGGCCCUGAUGGCUGUGCGCGCGAGCGGGGUCGACAGUUGCGCCUGCGCCACCGGAGGAAGGGAGCGCAAGGGUGAGCAGCUGCAAAGUAGAAGUCGGCUUGGACGACAGCAUCUCCGCUUGUCGCCGGAGCCGGCGCCGCCCGCGUGCUGGGAAUCGGUGGACGUGGAGAGGGCUGGGGAUCCGGAGAACACGAGAGAAAGAGAGGAGACAGGAGUCGGGCUCGGGAAGGGGAAUCUGGGACACAUCGACGACUUCCAGCGUGGCAGUGCCACCGUGGCAGUCAACAAGGUCAAAUCCGCCUUCCUCACAGCAAAACAGCCAAAUACAGGCUGAGGGGUGUCGGGUGCCUGGUUUCUAAAUUUAAGGGGGCUAAAAUACCCGGUUUUAGAGUUCAGGGUGUUUUUUGAACUUUUCGAUAAGUUCAGGGGGAUAAAAUGGACUUAUUUCUUUAGAUUUCUGUAAAGAAAAUAAUCACUACCAGGACUAUUAUUGAGAUGAUACAAAAUCAUCCUCAAAUAAUCACAUAUAUUGGAAAAUUAUAUGGUUAGUCUUUCUCCCUGGCCAGCAGAAAUGGAGCACCCGACAGUUUAAAAGGAACAAAUUGCUUAGUCAUGUCAUGAAGCAAAUAUCCAUUUGUUGAGCAAAAGUCUUAGAUAGAAUAUUUAUUUAUCGCCUAAAAGCAGAGCAUAGCCACAUCUUGAGCAGAUCUAGGCGCAGGGGAAUCGGAACCUGAGAACUACCGAACGUUCGUUUGGAUACGCUGAGCUUAUGAAUGUGGAAAGGAGCCCUGUAACUAAUUGAACAACCACCAACUAAUUGGGACUUUAAUUCAUGCGCCGAAGAACUGUCUAAACUUUUUGAUGACAAGUAGAAGUACAGUACCACUUAUCAUGAAGUCAUAAGCAGAAGAUACCUACAGUGAAAAGCCAAAAGGAACAUGAAUAAAACUCAGAUAACACGGACCAUCUAAAAUAUUGAAAGAAUAUUGCUGUUUACUUCAUGUAGCAAGCCCAUAAAAGAAUCAUUAGGCACAAACACAACAUGGUGUAAGAUAAGCAAGUGCCACAAUGUUAUACAGCCCAUCUAAAAUCAGCAAACCGUAGGUAGUAAGACUAUUUUUCUGUCAGAACCAGCACACGUUUGAUCUAGUGAAGCAGGGUGACAAAUUUUUUUUUUUCGAGCAACCUACAACCAAUCUGCAGUCCACAAAGAAUGAAAAUUGGUAGGAAAAAAUAUAGGAAGAACUGAUCAUAUAAAAAGAGCCUGGAAAAUUUGUAUGCAUCAGACUUCAUGAAGAAAAACAGUCUUCCAUUUAGUGUUUACAGCAAAUAGUCUCGUUGCUUCAGAACUCAGAAGUGUCACAAAACAACUUCAUUCGUAAACAUGAACAACCAAUCCAAGCCUAAGCUUGUUGCAGGGAUGCCAGAUUGGCAGUGUCCCAUUGGAUCUAAAAGAACCCAAAAUGAGAAAGAACCUUGGACAUAUAAAAGGGUUCAUGACCUGAUUUUCAGAAGCUAACUAAAAGGCAAUGAACAGGGAAUGUUUCUAAAUCGGUAAUCUGACCCCACCACCUUUCAAUCACAAGCAAACACACUAAAGUCAGCUUCUUGCAAAUAAAGUAGUCUUCUUACGGAACGGGACAGGCAAGGUUUUAUUAUGCAUAAGCGGUUCACAUUUUCCAAAAGAACUAAAAACUUAACGCCAUUGCAUUUUUGUUUUUUUAGGAAUGAAAUAAUUGUGCUAAUAUAUGAAUGAAACUCAUAUUGAAUCUGAGGUUUUAUAGUAAGAGAAGAGGCUUGCAUCAAAAGCAGUGCAAAAUGAAGGAAAUUU